rnacentral:rRNA from 1 species
AUACGUAGGGAGCGAGCGUUGUCCGGAAUUACUGGGCGUAAAGGGCGCGUAGGCGGCGCUUCAAGUCGUCUGUCAAAUGGGAGGGCUUAACCCUUUUUCGCAGACGAAACUGGAGAGCUUGAGAAGCAGAGAGGCAAACAGAAUUCCUGGUGUAGCGGUGAAAUGCGUAGAUAUCAGGAAGAAUACCAGUGGCGAAGGCGGUUUGCUGGCUGCAUACUGACGCUGAAGCGCGAAAGCCAGGGGAGCAAACGGGAUUAGAUACCCCGGUAGUCCUGGCAGUAAACGAUGUAUGCUGGGUGUGAGACUAGCGAUAGUUUCGUGCCGAAGUUAACGCGAUGAGCAUACCGCCUGGGGAGUACGGUCGCAAGAUUGAAACUUAAAGGAAUUGGCGGGG